UACGAAGGGGGCUAGGCGUUGUUCGGAAUUACUGGGCGUAAAGCGCGCGCAGGCGGUUCUUCAAGUCAGUGGUGAAAGCCCGGAGCUCAACUCCGGGAACUGCCAUUGAAACUGUAGAACUUGAGGAUGAGAGAGGUGAGUGGAAUUCCCAGUGUAGAGGUGAAAUUCGUAGAUAUUGGGAAGAACACCAGUGGCGAAGGCGGACUCACUGGCUCAUUUCUGACGCUCAGGCGCGACAGCGUGGGGAUCGAAACAGG
rnacentral:rRNA from 1 species